rnacentral:lncRNA from 1 species
CUAGUAUUUCUUCUGCAAAGCCUUAUCUGAAAGAUAAAAGCAAGGUCACUGCUGUUGGUUCUACAAGAGCUUCCCCAAGAAAGCAAAGAGUUGUCACCUCAAUGGCCACUACUGUUGGUUCUACAAAGGCUUAUAUGACAGAGCAAAGCACUGUCACUACUAUUGCACCUACAACAGCUUCCCCAACUGAGCAAACUGUUGUCACCUCAAUGGCCACAACUGUUGGUUCUACAAAGGCUUAUACGACAGAGCAAAGCACUGUCACUACUAUUGCACCUACAACAGCUUCCCCAACUGAGCAAACUGUUGUCACCUCAAGGGCCACCACUAUUGGUUCCACAAAGGCUUACACGACAGAGGAAAGCAAGGUCACUGCUGUUUUUUCUGCAAAAGAUUUCUCAAAAGAGGAAAGUGAGGUCCCUGCUAUCAACUCCACAAAAGCUUGUUGGAAUGGUGAAAGCAACGCCCUGCAGCUGCAGCUCAGCAACACUUUGGCCUGUUACGCCUACCUCCUCCUCCUCAUCAUGAGCGUGGUCUACUCUGCCAUCAUGGCCUUCUGUCUGUUGAGGAGAGCAGCAGUCUGUGGCAACGGAAAGAGUUUGUAACAGCUGGUGGCACAAAGAAGGCAACUUUCCUCCAUUGUUUAUUUUCCCUAAAACUGUCUGCCAAGGAUCUAUUUGGGGUUUCUCUCUUUGUAUGGGUUAUUUCAGUUCAUGGGGUAUUUUUCUGUUAUAUCAACGUUAGAAAAUAGUUUUCUAAA